rnacentral:rRNA from 1 species
AUUGAACGCUGGCGGCAGGCCUAACACAUGCAAGUCGAACGAGUGGCGGACGGGUGAGUAAUGUCUGGGAAACUGCCCGAUGGAGGGGGAUAACUACUGGAAACGGUAGCUAAUACCGCAUACCAUCAGAUGUGCCCAGAUGGGAUUAGCUGGUAGGUGGGGUAACGGCUCACCUAGGCGCCGAUCCCUAGCUGGUCUGAGAGGAUGACCAGCCACAGUGGAACUGGGACACGGGCCAGACUCCUACGGGAGGCAGCAGUGGGGAAUAUUGCACAAUGGGCGCAAGCCUGAUGCAGCCAUGCCGCGUGUGUGAAGAAGGCCUUCGGGUUGUAAAGCACUUUCAGCGGGGAGGCGUUACCCGCAGAAGAAGCACCGGCUAACUCCGUGCCAGCGGCCGCGGUAAUUC